UAGGGAAUAUUGGGCAAUGGGCGCAAGCCUGACCCAGCAAUGCCGCGUGGGUGAAGAAGGCCUUCGGGUUGUAAAGCCCUUUUGGCCGGGAAGAAAAGCGGGGUGCUAAUACCAUCUUGCUGUGACGUAACCGGCAGAAUAAGCACCGGCUAACUCUGUGCCAGCAGCCGCGGUAAUACAGAGGGUGCAAGCGUUAAUCGGAAUUACUGGGCGUAAAGCGUGCGUAGGUGGUUUCUUAAGUCGGGUGUGAAAUCCCCGGGCUCAACCCGGGAACUGCAUUCGAUACUGGGAGACUAGAGUUUGGCAGAGGGUGGCGGAAUUCCCGGUGUAGCGGUGAAAUGCGUAGAUAUCGGGAGGAACAUCAGUGGCGAAGGCGGCCACCUGGGCUAAAACUGACACUGAGGCACGAAAGCGUGGGUAGCAAACAGG
rnacentral:rRNA from 1 species